rnacentral:rRNA from 1 species
GACGAACGCUGGCGGCGUGCUUAACACAUGCAAGUCGAACGGUGAAGCGCCUUCCUUUUUGGUGGGUGUGGAUGAGUGGCGAACGGGUGAGUAACACGUGAGUAACCUGCCCCCUUCUUCUGGAUAACCGCAUGAAAGUGUGGCUAAUACGGGAUAUUCUGGGUCUGUCGCAUGAUGGGUCUGGGAAAGAUAUUGUUUCGGUGGGGGAUGGGCUCGCGGCCUAUCAGCUUGUUGGUGGGGUGAUGGCCUACCAAGGCGGUGACGGGUAGCCGGCCUGAGAGGGUGGACGGUCACACUGGGACUGAGACACGGCCCAGACUCCUACGGGAGGCAGCAGUGGGGAAUAUUGCACAAUGGGCGCAAGCAUGAUGCAGCGACGCCGCGUGAGGGAUGGAGGCCUGCGGGUUGUGAACAUCUUUCGCCAGUGAAGCAGGCCUGCCUCGUUUGUGGGUGGGUUGACGGUAGCUGGAUAAGAAGCGCCGGCUAACUACGUG